UUUCCCAUUUGACUACCACUUUUUCUCUUAAUAGUAGAUUUUAGUGUCUAUGCUUAUGGGAUAUAUUAAAAUUGCCAUGAUCUGAAGAGAGAGGUUUCUUUUUCGGUGGUGUCCUUCUAUAUGAAAUGGCUUAAGAGAAAGUU